GAUGAAGAACGCAGCGGAAUGCGAUAAGUAAUGUGAAUUGCAGAAUCCAGUGAAUCAUCGAAUCUUUGAACGCACAUUGCGCCCGCCAGCAUUCUGGCGGGCAUGCCUGUUCGAGCGUCAUUUCAACCCUCGACCUCCCCUUGGGGAGGUCGGCGUUGGGGACCGGCAGCACACCGCCGGCCCUGAAAUGGAGUGGCGGCCCGUCUGCGGCGACCUCUGCGUAGUAAUACAGCUCGCACCGGAACCCCGACGCGGCCACGCCGUAAAACACCCAACUUCUGAACGUUGACCUCGAAUCAGGUAGGACUACCCGCUGAACUUAAGCAUAUCAAUAAGCGGAGGA
rnacentral:misc_RNA from 1 species